UACAGAGGGUGCGAGCGUUAAUCGGAAUUACUGGGCGUAAAGGGCGCGUAGGCGGUACGGCAAGUGGGACGUGAAAUCCCCGGGCUCAACCUGGGAACUGCAUCCCGGACUGCCGUGCUGGAGUACUGUAGAGGGCAGUGGGAUUUCCGGUGUAGCGGUGAAAUGCGUAGAGAUCGGAAGGAACACCAGUGGCGAAGGCGGCUGCCUGGACAGAUACUGACGCUGGGGCGCGAGAGCGUGGGGAGCAAACAGG
rnacentral:rRNA from 1 species